GGUGUAAAGACAGUGUGAAAGGAUACAGGAAGACUUAAAGUCCGGGUUUAUGUUUUCUCUUUGCAGAAGAUGUAGAGGAGCUGAAUGCUGGAGAGUGAUUGAAGGAGUGAAGCUGAGCCCUGGAUGGAGGGAUCUGCUGGAGGAAAGGAGAGAGAGAGUGUCGGCGGAACUGGGCCACAGCAUCCGAGCUGGGAGACCUGAGAGAAGAGAUGGGAGAGGGCGGCUCCGCUGACUGGAGGAGUACCAGCUGGUCUCAAACAGGUAGGGAGCCGUGCCAAGUCCCUGUGCCAGCGUCCGUCGUGCCCGCUGACGUUCGUCGUCUGUUGGCUUCCAUCAGGGCCUCUCUCUCUCUCUGAUCUGGAAUGAAGAUGAUUUGAUUAGACCUCUGGUAAAGGCUGGGCAGGCCCUAUACAAAGUCAUUAGGAUGGCCAGGAGUGGACUGGGGUGUUACGGGUGAGUAGUGGGUGACCGCAGCGGACUCACAUUUGCACUGGACUGUUAGUUGUAAUUCGGUUAAAAUGUUGUUGUGUGUCUGUGCAUGUGUGCGUAUGCACCUUUUCAACUUCCCUACUCUCAUCCCUCUGGUAAUUGAAUUGUGGUACAAUAAUGGAUCUAUGAUUUUAUUUUGUCUUAGGUCCAAAUGAGUUUUGGUGUGAACGUACACACACUGGCAGGUGUUUACACAUUACAGGGGCUCAAAGAAAAUCUCCCAAACUCUGUAGAUCACACCUGGCCUAUACACUGUAUGUAGUCUAUAUGCUAUGCAAAGAGGUAUGGAUACAAGUAUAGAAGGACCAAGUCUUUGUAUGGGAGACAAGGAUAUGCUAAUUGGGAAACUGAGAGGGACAGGUAGUAGCAGACAUAAGGGAGUGACAUGAAGGAGUGUGUCUCAGUUGGUAGAACAUGAUGCUUGCAACGCCAGGGUUGUGGGAACAGUAUGAAAAUGUAUGCAAUCACUACUGUAAGUCGCUCUGGAUAAUAGCAUCUGCUAAAUGACUCAGUUGUUAUUUAUUUUUUAUGUAAAAAAAUGAAAGGAAUGGGUAGGCCUUCUUUCUGGCUAGGAGACAAACUGAGAAAGCCCGGUACGCCUACUUGGAGACAAUGCAAGGAGGACAGCUACUGUAGCUGGCUAGGGACCACCUGAAAGAGACAGGUAGCUACUGUGGCUGGCUAGGGACCACCUGAAAGAGACAGGUAGCUACUGUAGCUGGCUAGGGACCACCUGAAAGAGACAGGUAGCUACUGUAGCUGGCUAGGGACCACCUGAAAGAGACAGGUAGCUUCUGUAGCUGGCUAGGGACCACCUGAAAGAGACAGGUAGCUUCUGUAGCAGGCUAGGGACCGCCUAAAAAAGACAGAUAGCUACUGUAGCUGGCUAGGGGACUGAGAGUUACAGUAAUGUAACUGAUGUUAUCCUGUUAAUCACGUCUGCCUGGCCAAACAGCCCUGCGGGUACAGACUAGUGUGUGUAUGGCCCAGCCUUGCCAAGCUGUUCCCACGACCCAGAGGUCAAAGGACAUGCUCAGAGUGGGCGCCAGGCAGAGACCAGCCAGAUAGACGACCUUGCCGUACAUACACACACACAGCCGGCCAAGGCUGGGCCUGCCAAGUCCAACAUGCCGAUGGCCAGACGGUGGGC
ensembl:lncRNA